rnacentral:lncRNA from 1 species
CCGCUGUCGCCGAGCGUCGGAGCCCGAGGGGCCGCGGCCGCGCGCCGCGGGGGGAGGAGACGGUCUGGAGUCCCCCCGCUGCGCCGGGGUUGGGGAGACGGAGGACUGCAGCGCCCCUUGGGGCUUCUGAGGCGCCCAGGUAACCUCACCUGGCCGCCAGUCUCCCGCAGGAGGAACAGACACGUUGGUUCCACACCGAACCUAUUAACAGCUCAACUUCAAAUAUUUGGCAGAGGUGGGAUUGCUGUUCACUAAGGCCUGUGGCAAAGUGGCAACGUCAGGGCAGAAGGAUGUAACUGAUAAAAGCUGCUCACACCUAAGUAGCCAGGAAACAGAGAGAAAUGGAGACAAAUAUAUGAUACAGCCUACCAAGACACAUUCCUAGUGACCUUCCCAUCUUUGGCUUUCCAACAAUUCACAAGAACACCCUUAAUUAUGAAUUCAUCAACAAAUCAAUUAAGUCAAAGCUCCCAUGAUGUAAUCACUUCCCUAUAUCCUCCCGUUGAACAUCCUCACCAUUGAAAACCAAGCCUUCAACACAUGAGUCUGGGCACAGUAAGUCAUAUCGAAUACAUUGAAGAUGUAAAUUUUAACGGUUGAAAAUGACAAGCAUAUUUUGUCUGUGAAAGUCAGCAAAAGGGAAUAU